rnacentral:rRNA from 1 species
UACAGAGACUGCAAGCGUUAUUCGGAUUCACUGGGCGUAAAGGGUGCGCAGGCGGCCAAGUGUGUUAGGCGUGAAAGCCCGGGGCUUAACCCCGGAAUUGCACCUAAAACUACAUGGCUAGAGCAUUGGAGAGGGUAGCGGAAUUCACGGUGUAGCAGUGAAAUGCGUAGAUAUCGUGAGGAACACCAGAGGCGAAGGCGGCUACCUGGACAAUUGCUGACGCUCAGGCACGAAAGCGUGGGGAGCGAACAGG